rnacentral:rRNA from 1 species
GGGCCCGCACAAGCGGAGGAACAUGUGGUUUAAUUCGAUGAUACGCGAGGAACCUUACCCGGGCUUGAAAUGCUAUUGACCGGCUCAGAGACGAGCCUUCCCUUCGGGGCAAUAGUGUAGGUGCUGCAUGGUUGUCGUCAGCUCGUGCCGUGAGGUGUCGGCUUAAGUGCCAUAACGAGCGCAACCCUCAUCAUUAGUUACUAACAGGUUAAGCUGAGGACUCUAGUGAGACUGCCAUCGUAAGAUGCGAGGAAGGUGGGGAUGACGUCAAAUCAGCACGGCCCUUAUGUCCGGGGCGACACACGUGUUACAAUGGAUGGUACAACAGGCAGCUACUUGGCGACAAGAUGCUAAUCCCAAAAACCAUUCUCAGUUCGGAUCGAAGUCUGCAACUCGACUUCGUGAAGCUGGAUUCGCUAGUAAUCGCGCAUCAGCCACGGCGCGGUGAAUACGUUCCCGGGCCUU